rnacentral:misc_RNA from 1 species
GAUGAAGAACGCAGCGAAAUGCGAUAAGUAAUGUGAAUUGCAGAAUUCAGUGAAUCAUCGAAUCUUUGAACGCAUCUUGCGCUCCUUGGUAUUCUGAGGAGCAUGCCUGUUUGAGUGUCAUUAAAUUCUCAACCGCACUGACUUUGAAUUGGUGUGGCUUGGAUUUGGGGGGAAAAUUGUUGUGGGCUUUUUUGUAUAGUCUGCUCCCCUGAAAUUGAUUAGCGGUACCUUUGUGGAACUGUCUACAGGUGUGAUAAUUAUCUACAUCCUAGACAUCUGCUGAAAUGCUGCUUUCUAAACCUUACUUGUAUUGACAAUCUUGACCUCAAAUCAGGUAGGACUACCCGCUGAACUUAAGCAUAUCAAUAAGCGGAGGA